CACGCGAAGCACGGCGGGGGCGGGGGUACUGGGAGAGAACCGAGCGAUGUGGCCCUUCCCAAGUCCGAAGUCUCCCUCCCCAGGUUUCCCUCCCCGCGCCCCGAUCAGAGUUUGCGAGAUCUGGGGAGGCGCUGGGGCAGAAGCCGCCGACGUGGAGGGAUUUUCGGAAGGUGGGGUGGAAGAGUGAGGAAAGACAAUUCCCGAUUGCCUCCCCCGCUUGGGCGAUGCUUUCCUCCAACCCACCAUCCAGGCCUCCCGGGCAAGGGCCCAGCCUGGCCAGCUGGAGCGGAUUUGGGCGAAGGAGGAAAAGGGGGCUCCCAAACCCUCCCCGGUUUCCCUCCGCCGCCCUCCCUGAUUGGCUGUGCGUCCCCGGAGCCCAACUUCUGUCACUCCAGACUCAGUCUGAGCCCCAAGGGAGCUGGAGUGCAGCGACCCGGGGCGGCCGCGAAUCCAAGGGUCAGCGUCAGUGGGGCCCCUGGGGGGAGGGGCGCGGACGGGGUCGGCCCCCGCAGCCUUUGCCAGGCCCAGCUCUCCGCGUCUCGCGGCCUCGGCUCCUCUCCGCCCCCCGCCCUUUCCUUCCCUCCCAGCAGCGGCCUCCCUCCUCCUCCGCCACCCCCAACCCCGCCCGCCACCUCCCCCCGGUUUCUCAUUCCUGCCACUAGCGCGCUCGGCGGCUCAUUCCGCGGCCGCCGCCAGCCGAGGGGAGCGUCGCGAGCAGAUGCCGCGGGGGCCGCUCGCAGCCGCCGCCGACUUGUGAAUGGGACCCGGACUGGGGCCGGGGUUGACACCGCUGCGCUCGCCUUGCGCCAGGGAUCGACGGCCCCGAGCUCGCACCCACCCUCCAGGGCCCCAGAAAUCACUGUAUUUUUGGCUCAGUGGCCUGUGACACUCGUUCCUGUUGUCAUUUGUUGAGUGACCAAUCAGAUGGGUGGAGUGUGUUAUAGAAAUUGGCAGCAAGUAUCCAAUGGGUGAAGAAGGUAAGAUGGACCUACUUUACUGUACUAUGUAUGUGGAGAUGGAAAUGAUGCCUGAU
rnacentral:lncRNA from 1 species